UACGGAGGGUGCGAGCGUUGUUCGGAAUCACUGGGCGUAAAGCGCGUGUAGGCGGCCCACUAAGUCUGAUGUGAAAGCCCGGGGCUCACCCCCGGAAGUGCAUUGGAAACUGGUGGACUAGAGUCCCGGAGAGGCGAGUGGAAUUCCUGGUGUAGCGGUGGAAUGCGCAGAUAUCAGGAGGAACACCGGUGGCGAAGGCGGGUCCCUGGACAACUCCUGACACUGAGGCACGAAAGCUAGGGGAGCAAACGGG
rnacentral:rRNA from 1 species